GGUCUUGUUCAAAGCGUACUCUCUAAGUAUAUUCAUGAGUAUUAAAAAUUGCCCUUUGAGACGCAACUCUGACUGCAUUGUCUCUGUUGUGCAAUGAGUGGGCAGACAGUAAGUAACUGGCUCACGAUAGCUCAGUUGCCACUGUUUAGUGGGCUUUGGGUAUGGAACCGGGCCAGAUACUUGGACUCAGUUUGCCCAAAUUUGGCAAACUGCUGCCAUUUAUGUCAUUUGAAUCGUCAUUUUCAAACAUGUGCUAUUAUUCUAGUGUGUAAUACAUCAUUAAGUGAGACAGGAGGGAGGACGACAAUGCAGUUAAUUAGAAGUAAACACUGAGCAUCUGAUUCUUCUCUGCUAAUGAAGGUCUUCAUCACAUAGACGUCUGCGAUCUACCUUUGAUGGAGCAGGUGAACCUGUGCAGCAGCAGAGUAGCCCGGCGAAGUUAAGCACCCCAGGCUUGACAUUUGAAGACAUCUGCAGGUACGUAAGCUUUGAAGAAAUGCUGGAAAGUGAGCGUUUUUCAUCCCUACACCUUGAAACAAAUGCGUCACCACAUUCAAGAGAGUAAAACUUUGUGAACUUUGCCUUUGAACACCGACAUGCUGACAUCCCUUGAUUUAUAUGAGCCAUCAUUAAAUUAAAUCAGCAUUAAAAAUGAGCAAUCCUGCCAAGAGGGUCACAGACAUAAUUGCUUACAAGGCAUUUGGAGUCAUUCAGUUGCUGCUUGGAUUCCAUACACAAAAGCUGCACAUUCACUUAACUACUUUUGUUAUUUGGGUGAUUCCAGAGACUUUCAAAAAAUAAACAUUAUUAUUAUUAUUAUUAUAUGAAAAUGAUCUGAUCUUGGGAGCCUUUGUCUUCACCAUGUCCUCAGGAAGGCAGUUAAAAUAUAUAAACUGUCUAUAACAUUUAGAAACUUAUUCAUGAGCAGAAAAUACAACCAUACACUUUGGCAACUAGUGGGCUUAAAUGGUAGAUAGGCUACAUCAGACUGUAGCAUUUAAUGUUUAAUAUUGUACAUUUUACAAGUAAAAUGAAUAAACACAUCAAGAUGA